rnacentral:rRNA from 1 species
AGUGAACGCUGGCGGCGUGCUUAACACAUGCAAGUCGAACGAGAACGGAUUAUAGCUUGCUAUAAUUGUCAGCUAAGUGGCGCACGGGUGAGUAAUAUAUAGAUAACCUGCCCUCUAGAAAGGAAUAACAGUUGGAAACGACUGCUAAUGCCCUAUAUGCCUUUAAUACAUAAGUAUGCAAGGGAAACGCUUUAGUGCUAGAGGAUGGGUCUGUAUGGUAUCAGCUUGUUGGUGAGGUAAUGGCUCACCAAGGCUAUGACGCCUAACUGGUUUGAGAGGAUGAUCAGUCACACUGGAACUGAGACACGGUCCAGACUCCUACGGGAGGCAGCAGUGGGGAAUAUUGCACAAUGGACGAAAGUCUGAUGCAGCAACGCCGCGUGGAGGAUGACACAUUUCGGUGCGUAAACUCCUUUUAUAUAGGAAGAUAAUGACGGUACUAUAUGAAUAAGCACCGGCUAACUUCGUGCCAGCCGCCGCAGUAAAAC